rnacentral:rRNA from 1 species
ACGGAGGGGGCGAGCGUUAUUCGGAAUCAUUGGGCGUAAAGGGCGCGUAGGCGGCUUUGUAAGUCUUGGGUGAAAGCCCUCGGCUCAACCGAGGAAUUGCCUUGGAUACUGCGAAGCUCGAGGCUGGAAGAGGACAGUGGAAUUCCCGGUGUAGCGGUGAAAUUCGUAGAUAUUCGGAAGAACACCAGUGGCGAAGGCGACUUACUGGACACAUAUUGACGCUGAGGUGCGAAAGCGUGGGGAGCAAACAGGA